ACAGAGGGUGCAAACGUUGUUCGGAAUUACUGGGCAUAAAGCGCACGUAGGUGGUCCGCUAAGUCGCGUGUGAAAUCCCCCGGCUCAACCGGGGAAUUGCGCGCGAUACUGGCGGGCUAGAGAUCGGGAGGGGUGAGUGGAACUCCAGGUGGAGCGGUGAAAUGCGUAGAUAUCUGGAGGAACACCGGUGGCGAAAGCGACUCACUGGCCCGACACUGACACUGAGGUGCGAAAGCUAGGGUAGCAAACGGG
rnacentral:rRNA from 1 species